UAUGAAGCUCCAAUUUCCAAUUACAAACACAGAAUAAUUUUACUCAAAUAGACUAAACCAAUAACCAAUAUAACCUUAAAAUGUUUAUAAACAGGUAGUACGCUGAUGAAAUGUUCAUUUGGUAGGUAAUCGGGCAAGAUCCUCGUGUGCAUUCGGUGACUUUCGGCUCGAUAGGGAUGCGUAUGAACCUAACGUACCAGCCCGUAACCUUAGGUAAUACGUAUCGCGAUACGGGAGUUCAACCAUUAAUGCGCAAGCGUAUAUGUCAAAAAGAUGCGUUACGUUUACGUAUUUGUGUGCACAAAAACUCCCUGGUGUGUUACCAAGUGUUACCAAGGGAACACUGUUACAUUUGAGUUCUGUUCCAUCUCUUGGUAGAUAGGCGAACUACAUGUGCCGCAACCUCUUAAAGGUAGGAUGCCUUCCAUAAAUCAGUUAUCACAGUUGAAUACAAAGUGUUUGGUAGUCGCAUAUUUUUAUAACAGUUUUUGUACCUGUAAAAAGUAAAAUUUUCCAGAUCCAAGUUUAUUAGCAUAUGGGUAAGUACGUUGGUAAUUCAUUAAUGUUAUAACCCUAAUAGCACACGACGUCCUUUGGACGUCCAAAAUAGGUCCAUUUUUGGUCCUUACGUCCAUGGACUAUAAACGGACGUCCUUUGGACGUCCCAUGUUGGACGUCCUUCGGAAGGAAUAAAUAUGGACGUCCUUUGGACGUCCGACGUUGGACGUCCUUCGGACGGAAUAAAUAUGGACGUCCUUUGUACGUCCGACGUUGAACGUCCUUUGGACGUCCAUACUGGACGAAAUACGGACGUUUUAUGAACGCUUAUAUAUUAUAUUGGACACAUUAUACCAAUUACGGGAUCAAAUAGCAAAAUAAUUCAAUAAAAUAUUAACUUGGGCGUUAACUUUACGUUAAUGAAAUACAGUCAAACCUGUCAGUAACGGCCACUAAAAUGAAAGAACUAUUGGCCGAUAUAGAAAGGUGGCCGUUAUUGCCAGUUUUUGUAGUCUAGAUAUACAGUAAAACUUGUGUUACUGGCCACCUGUACUAACGGCCAGUUUAAAAAUUCCCCAAACCAAUUAUAUCUAGACUACAAAAACUGGCAAUACCGGUCACCUUUCUAUAUCGGCCAAUAGCUUUUUCAUUUUUAGUGGCCGUUACUGACAAGUUUUACUGUAAUUGGUUUGGGGAAUUUUUAAACUGGCCGUUAGUACAGGUGGCCGGUGUUUGCAGGGGGCCGGUAACACAGGUUUUACUGUAGUUUAAAUCGAAAAGAUUAAAUCUUAAUUCAAAAUUGUAUAUACAAUUAUUACAAUUAUAAACUAGAGUUUAAUAUCCAAAACAUGUUUUUGAUUUUAUGUAAUGUAAUGAAAAUCUUAUUUGUAAAUUAUUGGUUACAAUGUUUAACAAUAGGAAAUAUUCAAGAAUAAAUAAAAUAAAAGUUUAAUCCUAACAACACAAAACAUUCCAGGAAUGUAGGUACUACCGUUCUAUUCCGUGAACAUCUAUCUGAUUAAAUUAUGGGUGGAAAGUUACCACAAGAUAUAAAUGUCUUCCUGGAGGGGUAAAAUUUUCCAUUACAAGAUUUUAAGAGAGGCCAUUUACUGUUCAAUUUGCGUUCAUUUUCAAAUUUGCCGCGCGAAUAUCUAUGUAGCGUCGCGUGGUCAUUGGUCAUCACCAUCACAUUUCAUAUAUUUCAUUUUCGUUAUAACCGAUAACCUAAAAAUUUAGUAAAAAUUUUGAUUGGAAAAAAAUGCAUCGAUAAGGGGGUGUGGGAAAUGGAAGAAAUUAGUGGCUUUUUUGCUGUACUGUCUACUAGUUUUUGCUCUGGGCUCUGGCUGGAUCUCUUGUUUAAACAAUUUUAAUCAGCUGAAAGUGGUCUACAAAAAAAACCAAGAAGGAAAUGUAUAGCCUUGUGGCUAUGAAAGGCAAAAGAGAGAUAUAAAAAGUGUAUUGGCUAGUUGGAAGAAAGUCCACAUUGUCCAUGCAUAAUAAGUUAUUACUUUAUCAACAAAUAUCAAGAAGAUAGCAGGAAGUCAGGAGCAACACAAGCAAUUGAACAACUUUCAUAAGUUCAAGAAUAUCGAGGAAAUCCAGCUCCUCGAUACUACUGGGCAAACUAGAAGAUUGAAGAGGACAAAGCCUUUUGAACUAGUUUGAGUGAUAGGUGAUAGUGAAAAACGGAGCAUAGUGCUUGUGUGCUGUGCCUGUGUAUGUUAGAAUAGUGCACGAUCUUGUUAGAUUAGAUAAGAGACGCUAUGGGGUAAGCUCUUCAUUUUAAGAAACAGUAGUAAUUUAGGUUAAAUUAAAAUUGCUCAUUGGUCAGUUAUGACCAGAUUGUUUUUUUAUGUUUGGCAAAAAGGACUUAAGUCAGAAUUGCACAUUGAUAAUGUUUUGAUGAUUUCUGGACCAGAAAAAAACUGUUGUAGAUGUAAACUGUAUGUACAGUAGAAUCUACUACAGUACUGUAGAAAUCAUCAAAACAUUAUCGAUGUGCAAUUCUGACUUAAGCCCUUUUUCCCAAACAUCAGAGAAUUGUAAUGUACAAUAAUUCUCCUAUCUGCUUUUUCAUGAAUUUUGUAGGAGACGAAAAACCAUUUUUAGGAUCAUCUGCUUUCACAUGUAAAUUUUGACAUGUUUUGUAGUAAAUAGAUAGUUGAAUUUACUACAAAACAUGUCAAAAAAUAUAUGAAAACAGGAGGUGACUAUAAAAAAAGUUUUUAGUCUCUCUUACAAGACUCAUGAAAAAACAAAUCGGAGGUAUGUCACAUCUGUGACUAUAUCCAGGGAAUGUCUAAAAAAUAUACUUUGAUGUCCCAAGAACCAAAUAUAACCUACAGUCCAUCUAAUUUACUUACUGUUGCACGUCAUUAUCUACGCCAGAGAUCUAAGUUGACAUAGUUGCCAAAGUAUAAAAAGAUCCUGAACCCAUUUUAAAUAAAAUAUAUCACAUAAUUAUUGUAAACGUGGAUUAUACAACAAAACAAAUUAAUAUUCAAUGUAAAUAAGUAAAAACUUAAGAAAUAGAGAACAAGAAUUAAGUUAUAAUCUUUUAAGAUUUGCAGUGCAAGCGUUUUUGCACUGCAUUGUUAAUAAUUAAAAAACGGCUCCGAACUCUUGGCAAAAAGCUGGUAGGUUUCUUUGUAUAAGUAUGUCUACAAUAACAACUAAAAAAGUUGUCAGAUAUACUAUAUUCGCUCUCGCGAGAUUUUUUUUGAGACAUUCGGAAUAGGAAACGUACAACACAAAAAUUCCUACCUCACACUAUUAACUGCUAAAAUCAACUCAAAUCAACUUAAUCUUUCAUUAAAAAAAGAAGAAUUAUUAGAAAUAGUGGGAGUGUCUACUAAACUCAUAAAAUUUUGUGAAGUUUAUUUCUACAAAAUAUUUUUAUUUUGUACAAUAAAUAAUUUUCUCAUUUGCUAUCAAUACAUUAUAAUGGUUUAAAUAAAUAAAUAUUGAUUGGCGUAAGGUUUAUGUUAUUUUUAUGUCUGUUUACUAUUAAUAAUAUUGGAUAUGAGCAGGUGCAUUGGUUUUGUAGUAAUUUCCAGUCACUUCUGACAACUGAAUUUUUCAAAAAAGAAAUUACUAACGUCAGUGUCAAAAAAAAUCUUGCGAGAGCGAAUGUAGUAUACCUCGAUGAUUAUUCCAAGUCGUUAUAAAAUUAGGUGAAAUUUAUAUUUUUAUAGUAGAGGAUCUUUUUAUAGUAAAGUAAAUAAUAAAGACAGUAAAUAUAAUAAAUAAAACAGAUACUCAUAGUAAAGAAUAUAAACAAAUAUGAAGUGUCAUCACCACAACUGUCAAAUAAAUGUUACCAAUUUAUUCUAAAAUGUCACCUCCGUUCGAUUACAGUUACAGUGUGAUCCGAACAAAUCUGCUUCAUAAAAACGCUUUAUAAUCCAUUUAUACAAAUUAAAUGAAACAUAUUAUUGUGUAUUUCUUUAGGUUAACAUUAAUAGAAAUCUUCAAAUAUUAUUUCUACGCGUAUAUAAUAAAAUAUGUCUAGAGUCUGUAUUUCCAGUGUACUCAGCAAAGUGAUUCUAAAAAAGAACACACCUACCGCCUAAAUAUGUCGUGUUGGUAUCAUGCGACCUCACAGACUAUGACGCGGAUGACGCACAACAGUUAGUAAAUUAGACGAAGUAUGUAGAUAUAUACAGGGUGUAACAAAAAUACAGGUCAUAAAUUUAAUCACAUAUUCUGGGACCAAAAAUAGUUUGAUUGGACCUAACUUACCUUAGUACAAAUGUACACACAAGAAAAGUUGCAGCCCUUUGGCUGCAACUAUCUUACGAAAAAACUAUAGUAAAAUUUGGACACACCAUAAAAUUUUUAUGGGGGUUUUGUUCCUUUAAACCCCCCCAAACUUUUGUGCAGGUUUCAAUUUAAUUAUUAUUGUAGUACCAUUUAAACACAACGUUUUAAAAACUUUUUUGCCUCUUAUUGCUUUUUCGAAAAGUCAAUUUUUAUCGAAAUAUUUUGAAUAUUUGUCAAAUCCACCACAUAUUUGUAUAUGGUUAAGUACGAUUAUGGAGACUUGGUAAUAAUAUGCAGACUUAUUUAUGCUUUACAUUUUUAGGUAUAUUUUGAACCAUAUUAAAAAAGAAGCCAGAUCUCAAUAAAAUGUGCCUUAUCGAAAAAAUACAAAGAGGCAAAAAAGUUUUAAAAACAUUCUGUUUAACUAAUGGUACCUCAGUAAUAGUUUAAUUGGAACGUACACAAACAUUUGGGGGGUUUAAAGGAACAAAACCCCCAUAAAAUUUUUAUGUAGACAUGUUAAAAAAGAAGUCGCAACUCGAUAAAAACUUCCUUAUCUGAAAAAUACUAAGAAACAAAAAUAUUGAAUUUAACUAAUGGUAACUACCACAAUAAUAAAAUUGAAUUGGAACGUACACAAAAGUUUGGGAGGAUCUAAGGGAUCAAAACCCCCAUAAAAUUUUUAUGGGGUGCACAAAUUUCACCAUAAUUUUUGUUUAAGAUAUUCCUGCCAUAAUACUGCCACAUGUCCAUUUUCAAUAAAAAAUCGCUAAUAGUUUUCGAUAUAAUCGAAAAAAUCGAUUUUCAUUUUGUAAUUUUAAAGGGCUGUAACUUUUUUUAUGUGCAUAUUUGUACUAAGGUAAGUUAGGUUCAUUCGAACUAUUUUUGGUCCCAGAAUAUGUGAUUUAAUUUAUGACCUGUAUUUUUGUUACACCCUGUAUAUACAGCCGAUUACGCACCACCUUAAAAAUUGGGCAUUUUUGAUGUCUCGAAUUUCCUAAACCUGUUGUUGCAUCUAAGUGAUUUUUUUAUAAUAUUCUAGCCUAGGCCCUAGGCUAUAGGUUAAGUACCUCCUUAUGCUUGUCAUGCACGGGGAGCUAUACUGUAAUAUAUAUUAUAUCACAUCGCUCUCUAUAGUAAUGAGUGAGCCUGUACAUACGGAACCAUUUGUUUAAGGUUUAAUACCCCAUAUUUAAGGUGGUGCGUUAAUUUCUUGGAGAAGUGUAUUGUAAUUUAAUGUAAAUAAUGUAAUAUCCAAUAAUUGUAAUUUAAUAUAAGAUGUAAUAUAAGUUCCUUAAAAAAUAUAUUUUUUAUUUCCCACGACAUUAGAUGGAUGUUCGGCAGCAAGACAUUGGACCAAACUGGGACGUCCUAUGAAGGCCCAAUUGACGUCCACCGAACGUCCCUUCGGAUGUUAAGUGGACCUCCAUUGGACGUUUGGCAACGUGGCAUUUGGACCAAAAUUGGACGUCCUGUUAAUGUCCAAUUCACGUCCCCUAGGACGUCCGGUUAAGGUCCAAUUUACUUCCGAUUAAGGUCCAAUUUACGUCCGAUUAAGGUCCCAUUUACGUCCGAUUAAGGUCCAAUUUACGUCCUAUUAAGGUCCAAUUUACGUCCGAUUAAGGUUCAAUUUACGUCCGAUUAAGGUCCAAUUUACGUCCGAUUAAGGUCCCAUUUACGUCCGAUUAAGGUCCAAUUUACGUCCUAUUAAGGUCCAAUUUACGUCCGGUUAAGGUCCAAUUUACGUCCGAUUAAGGUCCCAUUUACGUCCCAUUAAGGUCCAAUUUACGUCCUAUUAAGGUCCAAUUUACGUCCGAUUAAGGUCCAAUUUACGUCCGAUUAAGGUCCAAUUUAUGUCCUAUUAAGGUCCAAUUUACGUCUGAUUAAGGUCCAAUUUACGUCCGAUUAAGGUCCAAUUUACGUCCCCUAGGACGUCCGAUCAAGGUCCAAAUUACGUCCGAUUAAGGUACAAUAUACGUCCCCUCGGACCUUAGAUGGACGUCCAAUGGAUAUUUCUAAUGGAUUUACGCUUGAAACCAUAACCAAUAUUUAAUUAUGGCGCUAAAAAUUUAGUUAUAUGUGCAUUAUGUGUUACAGGGUACAGUGUUAGGGGAAGGGGGUAUGAUGGGGUAGCUAAGGAAAAUAACAAAAAUACAACAUAAUUACUACGUUUAUUACUAUUACUAAUUGAUGGCACGUUACGUCAUUAAUCUAACUAUGAUUUGGUACAAUCUUUGGAAAAUCAACCUAUCACAUUUUUCAAAAAUUAGCCAUUAAUAAGAACAUUAUGAAAAACCAUCUUGCCCCCAUACUAUGGGGUAUGAUGGGGUAAUGGAAUUGGGGCAUGAUGGUGAUGCUAAUUAAUUUUCACAAAACAAACAAAAAUAUGUAUUUGCUCCAGAUCUUCAUUGUCCACCCUAGCACAAGCAUUGUGAGCUCAACAUCCACAGAUCUGGCAGCCUACCCAGGGUUCUGACGAUGUCACUUUAUCUAUGGCUGUUUUCAUAGCAUCUCUCGACCACUCUCCUCUUUUUGUUUUUUUCUUGUAAGUAUGGUAUUAUCUAAAAUAAUAAUCCAAUGUUAUUUAUUAAGAAAUUUAAAUUAACCCAGACUUACCACCAAUGUCCCAUCAUACCCCGCACCCAAUACCCCAUCUUGCCUCAAAAGGUAACUUUGAACAAAAAAAAAUUCACUAAUUAAAUGUUUAACGUAUUCACACAAACAAUAUGCCAUUAUCAAAAUAAGAAUACUAGUAAACAACGAUAAAAAAGACAUUAAUGAGGUGAUCGUAAUUACCUUAAAAUAACGAUGGUUGUCCUUGCACAAAAUUAGAUCAACGGAUCGCUAAAACAGUUUUCCGUUUGUAAACAAAAAACGCGUGCACUCUCAUUCACGGUUACUCUUGCAGGGACCGUUAGUCGAAUGACUGACUCUUCCUAUUGAGUUACUGCAUGCUAUUCACCAACGUGUAGUUUCUUGUUUGUGUGCGGUACCCCGUCUUACCUCGAGACCCCGUCAUGCCCCCCAUUCCCCUACACAAAUUUUUGUAACACUGUACCCUUCAGUAAAACAAAUAAUUAUAAUUUUAUUGAUUACAAAUUUAUUUUAGUGAGAAAAUGCCACGUAAAAACAAAGGUGUAAGAACCCUUUUAAAAACCGAGGAUCAGAUUCUCAAAUAAAAAGCUGUUCUUGAGGUGGUUGAAAAUGAAAUGAGCAUUAGAGGAGCAGCGAAAAAAUACAAAUUAUGUCACAUGACGUUAAAACGUUACAUAAAUAAAUACAAAAAUUCAGAAAAUCCUCAAAUAAUAAAAUUUGAACCAAAUUACAAAAUAAAUCAAAUUUUUUCCAAAGAGUUGGGAGAUGAACUCAAAUCAUAUUUAAUAACAGCGAGUAAAAUACAUCAUGGUCUGACCCGCAAAGAUACGUUGAAACUAGCCUAUCAAUUGGCUGUUUCAGGUUCGCAAUGGGCUAAAGAUCCCGAAAAACUGGGAUACUAAUAAUUCAGCGGGAUAGACUGGCUAGUAGGAUUCCGUAAGAGACAUCCCAUAUUGUCUCUCCGCAAACCUGAAGCAACAAGCUUAUCAAGAGCCACAAGCUUUAAUCGGACUAAUGUAAAUGCUUUCUUCGAAAAUUUAAUCAAAGUAUAUGAAAAAUUUGGAGAUACUAUAUCCCUCGAUUUGAUAUAUAAUUUGGAUGAAACUGCAAUCACCACGGUUCAUAAUCCACCGAAUGUUCUGUCUGCUAAAGGACAAAAACAAGUUGGCCAGGUAACAUCAGGCGAGAGAGGAGUGUUGAUUACCGCUUGUUGUAUUAUCAAUGCUCUUUGAAAUACUGUUCCACCAUUUUUAGUUUUUCCAAGGGUCCAUUUCAAAAAUCAAAUGUUAUUUGGUGCACCUGCAAGUGGCAGUGCAACAAAGAGUGGUUGGAUGAAAGGGGAAAUUUUUGUUGAGGUUCUGAUCCAUUUCCAAAGACAUGUUAAGUGUUCAAAAAAAACCCCGUGAUAUUAAUUUUUGACAAUCACGAAUCGCAUAUCACAAUUGGCUCGUUGGAAUUUGCAAAACAAAACGGGAUAAUUAUGGUAACGUUGCCACCACAUACAAGUGGAAAGCUUCAACCUCUUGACAAAACUGGUUAAAAAAACUUAAAAUCCAAUUAUAAUUUUGUUUGCAACGACUGGAUGAUCUGCAAUCAUGGAAAAGUAAUUUCCAUCUAUGAUGUUGCUGUUAUAUUUGGUAAAGCAUUUCCUAAAGCAUUCUCUAUCUCAAACAUAGUCAAUGGGUUUUCUUCGACAGGCAUAUGGCCUUUAAAUCGAAAUAUAUUUACAGACGAUGACUUUUUGUCAUCCAGUGUGACAGACCUCCCUUUGCCUACAGCAUCUUCCUUACAGACUUCAAACAGAGAUCAGCCUCAGCAUUCUACCUCAGCACAAGUUCCUUGUGACAUGACAUCCGAGUAUGCAUUAUGUAACCGAUUCGAAUCAUGAAAAUAUAGCUGAAAAGUCUCUAACUAGUCCUUCCACUUUAACUCUUUCGCCUUCACCUCGCAUUAUAAUACCUCCAUCUACACCUCCUAGGAAUAUGCAGCACCAACAAGCAGAGAGACCCUAUAUGCCAAGUGUAUUGAUCGAACAACCAACUUUAAUUUCACCUGAACUCGUUAGACCCUUUCCAAAAGCCCCACCAAGGAAAACAAAGAACACAGGAAGGAAAAAAGGGAAAACCAUGGUGCUAACAGACACUCCUACCAAGGACGAAUUAGUAAUUGAAUUAUUGGAAUGAAGUAGAAAGAAAGCCAAGGCUGUCAAGAAGAACAUCGUUAAGGAGAAAAAAGAGGUCGAAAGUUCUGAGGAAUCAGAAAGCGAAGUUCCUAAUGCUGAAAGUGAUGCUAGUAACAAUUUGGGAGAAGAAGAAAUGGAAAUAGAUUAUUCAUCAGUUUCAGUUGGUGGUUAUGUGCUUGUUGCUGAAGGGGAGCGUAAAAGUAAUAUUUUUUCGGUGGGUUUAGUCGAGGAGGAACUGGAGGAAGAAUAUGUAAUUAUUUACAUAAAGAGAAUUAAACCUCUGUUUAAAUUUGUAAAAACUGAACAGUCCUACACUUUUCGCAAGGAAGAUAUUAUACACAAAUUGCCACCACCAGUUGCUGCAGGUGGAACAAACCGAACAUCUGAGAUGCUGAUUUUUGACUUUAAAAUUUUUUUGACUUUAAAAUUCACUUGAAUAGGUUUUGUCAAAUUUACUGUUUAUCUAUGUUGACUAUCUUGGUAAUUUUGAUAUUUAGGCAUUAUGUUUAUAGCUUUAAUGAACAAUAAAUAUUUUUCUAAUCA
rnacentral:lncRNA from 1 species